UACGAGGGGGGCGCGCGUUGUUCGGAAUUAUUGGGCGUAAAGGGUGCGUAGGCGGUUCGGUAAGUUUCGUGUGAAAUCUUCGGGCUCAACUCGAAGCCUGCACGAGAUACUGCCGGGCUUGAGUGUGGGAGAGGUGAGUGGAAUUUCCGGUGUAGCGGUGAAAUGCGUAGAUAUCAGGAGGAACACCUGCGGUGUAGACGGCUUUCUGGACCAUUGUUGACGCUGAGACACGAAAGCGUGGGUAGCAAACAGG
rnacentral:rRNA from 1 species